rnacentral:rRNA from 1 species
CAGUCGCCACGGGAAUACGUAGGGUGCAAGCGUUAAUCGGAAUUACUGGGCGUAAAGCGUGCGCAGGCGGUUUGUUAAGACAGAUGUGAAAUCCCCGGGCUCAACCUGGGAACUGCAUUUGUGACUGGCGAGCUAGAGUGUGGCAGAGGGGGGUGGAAUUCUGCGUGUAGCAGUGAAAUGCGAAGAUAUGCGGAGGAACACCGAUGGCGAAGGUAGCCCCCUGGGCCAACACUGACGCUCAUGCACGAAAGCGUGGGGAGCAAACAGGAUUAGAUACCCGGGUAGUCCCUGUCUCUUAUAC